CUUAGAUGGACUUUAACAGUCCCAUAAACA
rnacentral:tRNA from 1 species